rnacentral:rRNA from 1 species
AUUGAACGCUGGCGGCAGGCCUAACACAUGCAAGUCGAACGGUAACAGGAAGAAGCUUGCUUCUUUGCUGACGAGUGGCGGACGGGUGAGUAAUGUCUGGGAAACUGCCUGAUGGAGGGGGAUAACUACUGGAAACGGUAGCUAAUACCGCAUAACGUCGCAAGAUCAAAGAGGGGGACCUUCGGGCCUCUUGCCAUCGUAUGUGCCCAGAUGGGAUUAGCUAGUAGGUGGGGUAACGGCUCACCUAGGCGACGAUCCCUAGCUGGUCUGAGAGGAUGACGAGCCACACUGGAACUGAGACACGGUCCAGACUCCUACGGGAGGCAGCAGUGGGGAAUAUUGCACAAUGGGCGCAAGCCUGAUGCAGCCAUGCCGCGUGUAGGAAGAAGGCCUUCGGGUUGUAAAGUACGUUCAGCGGGGAGGAAGGGAGUAAAGUUAAUACCUUUGCUCAUUGACGUUACCCGAAGAAGAAGCACCGGCUAACUACGUG